rnacentral:lncRNA from 1 species
AUCAUUUGGCUUUCCUGAAAAUUUAUUUGUUGUUUCUUUCUAUGCCCCAUAUGUAAUCUAACAACCACAUAAAAAUUCAAUAAACUAUAUAUAAUCUUAACAACCUGAAAAUUUUAAUAAUCUAUUCAUAUAAUUUCAUAUAAUUUUAAUAGCUUGUAAAUCUUAAUAAUCUAUUCAUAUAAUUUCAUAUAAGUUUAACCGUCUAAAAAUUCUAAUAAUCUAUCCAUAUAAUUCCAUAUAAUCUUAACAACUGAAAAUUCUAAUAAUCUAUCUAUACAAUCCUAACAAUCAAAUAAAAAUUUUAAUAAUCCACAUAUAAUCCUUACAACUUCACUUGUUUCUAUUUUUUAUAUAAUUCAUACACAAUUUGAACUAAUGAAUACGGCAAACGAUUCACCGCCUUUAGAAGAUAUGGGAUAAUGCGAUGAACGAUUCACCGCAUUUAAAAGAUAUAGGAAAAUACGGUGAACAAUUAACCGCCUUUCGAAAAAAAUCCCAUAUGCCUCCUACGUGGCGAAGAAAGGGUUAAUUUGUCAAAUAUAAAUUGGCAGAGUUAUUUUGCAAAUUAUAAAAUUUUAAAGAAUUAUUUUGUAAAAAAUUCCUCUUAUUUGCUACAUGGACAUUUUGGUGAUCAUGACAAGUCUGUCCUUUUUCCACAUUCAUUCUCUCUCCCUCUCUCUCUCUCUCUCUCUCUCUCUCUCACACACACACACACACACACACACACACACACACACACACAAACAGUAAAGACUCUGCAGUGUGGGAACUUUGCUAGAAAUUCACAUAUUUUGAUUACUCCCACGUAUAGUAGUGUUUGCUGAGAGGAAGGUAUCAUGAUAUUUUUGCUUCAUUCAUUUUUUUAUAUAUAAAUAAACUUAGCUAUAAUUAUGUAGUAACUAAAUUUUGAACUUGGGAUCUCAAAUAUCAAUCAUCAAAUUCCUUACAACUUGCACUCGGAAUGAUCAGUGUCUCACAUAUAAUAGCAAUUAGAGAAAUUAGUGGCACAUAUGUACUAAUAAGUCCAAUCUUCUAGGCUGUUAAGUUUUGGCAUUUGAUGAAUUUCAACAGAUAUGUCACAUAAUUUAUUUAAAAAUAUUAGUUAGUCAUCAUAUAAUUCUGUAUAAGUCCCUCAAUUUUAAAAACUCUAUAUUAAAUUUCCACCACCAUGUAAUAACACAACUUUCCCUAUCAGUGUGAUUUAAUCUAGAGAGAGAGAGAGAGAGAGAGAGAGAGAGGGAGAUCAAUUCCACUCAUCUAAACAAAGGAAACAAAUUAAGGAAAAUGAGUCAUCAUGUGCUCAGGUCCCUCCAAAGCCAUGGGAUCUCAUGAGGAAGCAAUUCAUGGCUGUGCUUGCCCCUCAAUAUUACCUACUCAUAAGAAAAAGAAAGAGGAAGAAGAAGAAUGUGACAUGGCUCAUAGAACAGUGUAUGUGGAUGAUGAUGAUUGAUCAUGAUGAUUAUGAUGAUGAGUUGAGCAAGCAAUCCAAGCAUAUAAUUUAUAUGUGGCCUAAAAGUGCUUUGUCCUACUGUAGCAAAACUCACAUGGUGAUUUUGUGUUGUUUUUUUGGUGCCAUGUGGCCAAUGUGGCACUGCUCCUACACUAGAUUUUAAUUAUUGGACCCAACUUUGUGGCUCUUGUUAAUUAGAGUUAGUACAUAAAUAUGUUGCAUUAGCUUGGCCACAUUUUUAAGCUUUAUUGUGGCUUUCCUUUUUUUAAAAAAAAUUCAUUUAAACUGUAGCUAAUUAAGAUGGAUUCCUAAUUUGUGUUGGGAAUAGCUAAGAAGAAGUACUCACUUUCACCACAAAAAACAAAAAAAAAAAAAAAAAAANAAUUUUUGAAAUAAUAAUAGUAAUAAUAAAUUUUAAAACCCAUUUUUUUCAUAAUACACAGAUAAUUUUUUACACACAAAUUAAAUUUUCAAAAUUUUAUACAUAAUAAUCGUAUUUUAUUUGGGACAUCGUGGCUCGUCCACAGCCGUAAACGUGGCAUGCGUGCCCAUCAAACACGUAACCCUUCCUCGUCUUUUGUACACGUGGCGCCAUCCUGUGGCCCCUAAUGCGUCGGAUGCGGUGGGCGCGUGUACGCGUCGCACGUGCCUUCGUUCGCGCCAAAACGUGUGGCCCCUGUUGACUCGACUUGCUUCAAUUCUUCGGUACUAUUUUGUCGCGUAUUUACGAAAUGACUAUUUUGCCCUCAUUAACCAAUCUCCGGUGUCGUGGGCAUUUUGGUCAUUUCGCUGGAGCAGCGGUAACGAAGCGCCACAUGUUAACAGUGGGUUGGUGGGUGGUGACGCUUGCGCUAGAGAUAUUUUUUCUCCAUGUUGUGGUUAACAACGCUUCUAAACUAAACUCCGUUACUUACGUGGGUCCCUUUUUUUUUUUUUAGGGUAAACUUCAAAUAUCACUCUGUGGUUUCGCACUUUCUCACUUUAGUACAAUAUAGUUUAAAGUGUACCAAGUUAAUGUCAUGUGGUUUCAUUUUAUAUCUUUUCGUCAGUUUCUCUAUUAAUAUUUCGUUAAAUUAUAUACAACAAGCUUCAGAUACUUCACCUAAAUUUAUCGAAUAUNAAAAAAAAAAAAAUUAUUGCAUGCGUUGAGCAUAUAAAUAUAUUGCACACACUAAAUUUUUAAAAUUUUUAUUAUGAAUAUUUUAAAAAUUACAAUUUUUGAAAUAAUAAUAGUAAUAAUAAAUUUUAAAACCCAUUUUUUUCAUAAUACACAGAUAAUUUUUUACACACAAAUUAAAUUUUCAAAAUUUUAUACAUAAUAAUCGUAUUUUAUUUGGGACGUCGUGGCAAGUCCACAGCCGUAAAUGUGGCACAUGUGCCCAUCAAACACGUAACCCUUCCUCGUCUUUUGUACACGUGGCGCCAUCCUGUGGCCCCCAAUGCGUCGAACGCGGUGGGCGCAUGUACGCGUCGCACGCGCCUUCGUUCGCGCCAAAACGUGUGGCCCCUGUUGACUCGACUCUCUUCAAUUCCUCGGUACUAUUUCGUCGCGUAUUUACAAAAUGACUAUUUUGCCCUCGUUAACUAAUCUCCGGUGUCGUGGGCAUUUUGGUCAUUUCGCUGGAGCAGCUGUAACGAUGCGCCACAUGUUAACAGUGGGUUGGUGGGUGGUGACGCUUGCGGUGGAGAUAUUUUUUCUCCAUGUUGUGGUUAACAACGCUUCUAAACUAAACUCCGUUACUUACGUGGGUCCCUUUUUUUUUUUUAGGGUAAACUUCAAAUAUCACCCUGUGAUUUCGUACUUUCUCACUUUAGUACAAUAUAGUUUAGAGUGUAUCAAGUUAAUGUUAUGUGGUUUCAUUUUGUAUCUUUUCGUCAGUUUCUUUAUUAAUAUUUCGUUAAAUUAUAUACAACAAACUUCAGAUACUUCAUCUAAAUUUAUCGAAUAUUUACUUUAGUACUAUUUAGUUUUAACUUUGUCACUGAUUUAACGAAAAAUAAAAUAAAAAUAAAAUAAAAUCACAUAGCACUAAAUUAAUACACUUUAAAUCACAAAAUAUUAAAGUGAGAAACUGCGAAACUAUAAGAAUAGUAUUUGAAGUUUUUUUUUUUGAAAACUUAAAAUACGGCACUGAUCAUUCUUAAUUAUAUUAAAUAUUUAAUUUAUAUACGGUUUUAUAUAUUAAUUUUUUUAAAAAAUAAAAAAUAUAUAUAUUAUUUGAUUUAGGUUCCACCACUUAAUCAGAUGAUGUUGGCGAUGAUUUUGUUGUCGCGUUAUCUUUACGCAAUCCGAUUUGACUACUGUACUAUCAACACAUCAUCAUAUCAAAAAUCAAUAAUAUUAUUAUCAAUAUGUAUUUUUAGAUUCGUUUUCUAUCAAAUCAAUCUUUGAAUAAAUAUGUAUAGUUUUAAUUCUAAAAAAUAAGAACCCACAUAAUCUAGUCUGAAUCGGUUAUCUAAUUUUUCAAAAAUUUAAUUAUUCUAUCUAAGUUUUCAAUUUGUUUGAUUUUAGUCUGUCAACGAUACUUUUAUUUUAAAAUUUGAAUACAGAUUUAGUCGGUUUAUUUUAUGCAGUUCUCGCAACAGAAAACUUAUUAAAGUUAUUAACUUUAAUUUUGAAGUUAAAGUACUGUUCACUAACUCAAAUGCGAACAAAUUGAAAGAUUUGAUUGUAAAAUUUAAAUUUUGAAUUGUUGAAUAACUAAUUUAAAAUGAUCUAUAAUUCAAAUAAAUUUUAUACAUUUUGAUCAUUCUGAAAUUCUUUCAUCCUGUAAUUCAGAUAAUUCAGCCUCAUUUUUCAAGGAAAAAAUCCAACCAAGAAGAAAAUAAAAAGAAAGUAGGAAUUUCCUCUUAUUGAUAUUCAACUUUUUUAAUUUAUUUGAUUUGAGCCGGUCACCGGUAUUUUUAUUUCAAAAUUUAAAUAUAGAGUUAGUUAAUUUAUUUUAUGCAGUUCUCGUAAUUAUAAAUUUAUUAAAGUGAGUUAUUAAUUUUAGCUUUGAAGUCAAAGUACUGUGUUCACUUACUCAAAUUUAAUAAAAUUGAAAGAUAAAAUUAAAAUUAAAAAAUAUUAGAUAACUAAUUUAAAAUUAUUCAUAAUUCAGAUAAAUUUUAUAAGUCUUUAUCACUCUAAAAAUCUUUCAUUACGUAAGAUAGUGAAUUAAAUCCCCUGUAAUAAAUAUUCUGGUACCAAAAUAAAAUAAAAGGCCAAUACUUGGAUGAUAAAAUACACACAUAAUAAUAAUAAUAAUAUUAAUAAUAAAACCAAAAUAAGAGGACCAGUAACGCCCAAAUGAAGUAAAGAAGCACACGAAUUAAGAACCCAAGCCAACAAUAAAAAUACAAAUACAAAAUUAGAAAAAGAGAUUUAAAAAAUAAAAAUAAUAUUAGCAAUUUCGAGUGGGACGAGGUUUUGUGGACGAGGAGACUUAGGAGAGCCCUUCCACAUCCUCUUUCUCUCUCCUACCACUCUUUAUUAUUCUCUAAUAAUUAAAUUAAUACUUUUCUCAUAACUACCUAACUAUAAUAAUAAUUAAUUAAAGAUUGAAAAAUGUAAUGGACACCACAUCAACAACUAUAAGCUUUUCCAGGUUGAUCACCCAAUUUCUUUUUUCUACUCAUUUUAACCUCUAAGCCGAUUUGCAUAAAAAAAUUCACAAAUUUGGAGCUUUUGCAAAACUGGUCCGUCUUUUUCGAUUUUACAGAUUCGGUUCGAAUUUUCAACAAACCGAUCAAAAUACCCUUAUGUAUUUUACAAAAUCUCAAAACUUAUGAAUUUUUUAUGCAAAUUGGCCUACUUAAUUUUAGAUUUGGACAAAUAUAUAUUUAGUAGUUUUUCGAGUUUUUAAUUUAAAAAGAAGAGAUCAGGGGGAGCGUUUUGAAAAUUAUAUAUAGGUAAAGGGUCUUUGUGCGAUUUUACCUUCAAAUUAAACCAUAUAUAUAUAGAAGAUAUAUUUGUAUAGCAUUUAUUAGUGGGAUCGAACGGGUCUUCAUCUCUAACACCAUUCUCGCUACUCCUUCCACAGUUUAUAGAAAACCGCUCGCGGUUUUAUCAAAACCGCUCGCGGUUUUCUGAAAAUCGCUAAUCUCUCGUCGAAUUUUUAGCCCGUUAUCUCUCUUCUCUCCCUAUCCCUCUCCCCGUCCUUUCUAUCUAGACUAGAUAGUACGGUUUAUCUAGGGUUUCUCUUUUAUCUAGGGUUUCCUUUCUAGGGUUUUGUAGGAGGUGGGUAUGGGUAUGGGGAUGGGGAUGGGGAUGGGGAUGGGGAUGGGGAAGCGGUGCGAGCUCUGCGGGGGGAGCGCGGCGGUGUACUGCGACCCGGACGCGGCGUUCCUCUGCUGGGGCUGCGACGCCGCCGUGCACGGCGCCAACUUCCUCGCCGCGCGCCACCUCCGCCGCGCCGCCUGCGCCUCCCUCCACCCCGGCGUCCUCGUCUCCGGCCCCUCCGCCGCCGCCGCCGUCGCCGCCGCGUGCUGCUCCCUCUCCGCCGAGAGCUCCUGCGUCUCCGCCGCCGAGUCCGCCGCCGCUGCGCCGCCGCGGCGGAGGCGGCGGAGCGCGCCGGCGACGCGGACCCGCCGCGUGCGGCAGCGUAGAGCGCCGGCGCCGCCGCGGAGAUCCGCCGCGCUCCGCCGCGCCGGGGCGGGCUCGCGGGCCCCCGCGCGGCGGCGGAGGCGAACCGGACCGGUCGAGAAGGAGGAGGGAUGGGCCGAGUGCGCGUAGUGGCCGAACCGGCCCGGUUCGAGAAGUGUACGGAAUCAUCCUUAACUAUAGUACGUUUGGAAAUAGGUCCCUCAAGUUUAUUGACACCCCUUAGAAUGUAAUAUUUUCUUUCUUUUUUAUUUUUAUUUUUUUUGUUUGUAGUUUCUAAUUUGAGCGAGUGUAGUAAAGUAAGUUAAGUUAAUUUAAUAGCUCUACUCUAGUUAACUUUUAGCAAACAGGAUUAGUGUAGUUAAUAACAUACUAUCUUGUUAAUUUAACUAACUAAAAUUACUGAUAUGAAAAAAAAAUUAGCAAGGUAUGAGAGGUGUCAAUUGGAUAAUAUUAAAGUUUAAGGACCUAUUUCAAACUAGCCUAGAGUUUGGGUGUUUCUCAGUCAUUUUCUCCUGGUGUCAUCUUUCUCUAACUUUUAGCAGAGAAUGUUUUUUUUUUUUUUUUUUUUUUUUUUUUUGGCCUUUUCUUUUUCUAAAGUCUCAUGUUCAAGCUAUGAUGAAACUCUGUAAUGAGGUGGGACACUUGUGAGGAAUCAAAUAUGGACUUUGAUAUGAGUGAGUGAUUGUUCAAGUUGUUUGUGUGCAUCAAAUGGUUUGCAUGAUGAUGAGUUUAAACUUACUUAUGUUAUAUUAUUAUUAUACCAUUAAAUGCUUUAUUUUUGAGACUAAAAGGUGCUUGGAUAUAUAUGACAUGUGAUUCUUACUAUAAUAUAUGUCACAUUAGCUAUAUAUUAUUGAUCAUGGAUUCGAAUUGCUAUGUGCUUUUAUUGUAGAACACCAACAACUUGAGUGGUUCAAAACAUAAAGAAGAAAAGUUUUAGAGAUGUUGUUGGUUCAAAACAUAAAGAAGAAAAGUUUUAGAGAGAGAGAGAGAGAGAGAGAGAGAGAGAGAGGUGGGAAAUUCUUUGACAAUUUUCAGUUCAAAGGGUUGUUUUAGUCCAACCACUUGUUUGGAGUGUUGUGGUGCAUAAGAUGUGGGUCACAUUUAGUCACAUAAUAAGGCUAUAUUUAGGUGUCAAAAUUUGGGUGGGGUGAGUGGAUCCUUUGACCUAUAGGUGUCAAAAUUUGGGUGGGAUGAGUGGAUUCUUUGACUCCACCCUGUGAAAGAGAGAGAGAGAGAGAGAGAGAUGGAGGGUUCAAAACUUGACUUGACUCACAUGUUACAUUUAUGGAUCCAGCACUUGGAACAUUUUACCGACUAUUCCUAGCGCAAAUUAUAAAAGAUUAAAAGGUUCAGUGGUUGAUAUUUUACGUCUUAUGUUUGAAGUCUAGUUAUUUUAUAUUUUUAAAUAAGCUUAGUUUUUUUUAAAAAAAUAAAAUAAUUUCAAAUAAGCUUAGUUUUUUUAAAAAAAAUAAAUAAAACGGGUAAAAUACUACCUUUCUCUCUCUCAAAAAAAUAAAAGGAGAAAGAACAAUUUCAUAUUUUCAUGGCACAAUAUCAAUGAGACUAUUGUAAUAAGUUGAUAUAUGCCUAGGGAUGUAAAACAGGCCAGGGCAGGUUCAGCCGUCACUAUUGUUGGUAGUGUUCGGUUGCACUCGGCCAGCUUGCAGUUCAGCACAGGAUGGAGGGAUGCAAAUGGAUUCGGGUUGGUGGAGCUCCUGCCUCGAAUAGGAUAGUAAACGAGGAGAAAUAAACGGAUUCGGGACAAAAAAAGGGGUAAUUUUUAUAAUUCGAGACGGAUUCGGGAUAGAAAAUAGAAAAAAUUUUGAUCCUCCCCGAAUCCGCAAUGAAUCUGCUAUGAAAACGUAAAAAAUAUUUCUAAAUAAUUCAAAAUAAAAAAAAAGUUGGUGCUCAUUUCUCAUGUAUUUGAAACUUUUGAAUUUUGUUUCGAAUUGUGAUCGAUAUUUUUAAUUUUUAUGAUUAAUAUUGUUAAUUAUAUAUAUGUAUAACUUAGUAAUAUUAUUCAUUAUUAUUAAAAAAUAUUAAUUUAUAUUUUACAAAAUAUUAAUAAUAUUAUAUUUUUUAAAAAAUAUAUUAAUUGACUUAGCGAAUUCGGGACGCUGGCGGUAGUUGGGUUAUGAGGCCAGCCGGAUCAUGGAAUAUAUUUUUUUAACUCAUCACAGGUUCGGAGCAGGAGGUGGAGCGGAAUUUUGGUAGCCGGGGCGAGAGGCGGGGUGGGGCUCCUUCUCCCAGAUCAGAUCCGCCCCGUUUGCAUCCCUAACAGCACGGCAUGCGCCAUGGGUGCAAGAGAUGCUGGUCUACGGUUUGGUGGCCCAUGGCUCGACAUGGCACGGCCCAUAAUGCACCCUCAUAUGUGCCCCAAGUUGUUAAAGCCCGUGGAAUUGUUUACCGCCUCACGAAGUUAUACUUUAUAAUUUCGAGCUCAAAUUUUUUUUACUGUUGUACGACACUAACAGAAGUUUGAACCUUUGACCUCAAAAAAUACUAUUACGUGUUAAAGUAGAUGAUGUAAAUACAGGAGUAUCUUACUUUUGACUUUAAAAGGAUGUAUGCUCCUCUAAGAGAUAAAACCCCACUAAAGAAGAAAUAGUAAAAUACCUUUAACUGCUGCAGUAUCAGAGUUUUGUUCACACUUUUUCAGUUCACACAUCAGCAUGAAAGAUAACUUGUUUUGAUUAACCUAUAUUGUAGCCAUUAACACUUUUUCCGAAUCUUUUACACUUGAUUACACAUACCUAGAAUCUAACCUGACCAAUGAGAUUAUACAUUUACAUACAAGCUUUCAGAACCUUAAACAGUCUCAAUUAACAUGUUAGUAGGAAGAAUUCUGGGAGUAAAUUACUCUAUUCUGAUUACAGUAUGUUUUCAGAUAUAAGUUCUGACACGAAAUUCUCCAACUUUUCCCCCGACGGUCCUCGUUCGACUGUAUCAAUAUCGCUCCAACUCGAGCAUCGAUCAUUCGAAUCUUCUGUCUUCUGAUCAUCUGCGAAGCCCGCGCACCAUUUUCCUGGAACAACGCCGCUCGACGGUCUUUCGAGUACGUCCUCGUCGAUCUUCUGCAGCAGUGCAUCAUUUUCUCUGAACCAAGUACCAAAUGCUGAUCCACUGUUUAUCAUUGCUGCAUAAUGUGAUUGAUUGAGACUGAUGGGUUCUGCGGCCGAAGGCCGCUCCCCGAGAGUGUACCACAAAUUGUUGUUGAUUGUGGUGUUUCGGAAUCUCAGGGAGUUGAGUACUACUGUUUGGAAGUAGGAUUCCAUUGGAUGAAUCACAUUGGUGAAGUAUAAGAGCAGUUUCCUCGGUAGGUUGUCCCAUGAAAACACACAAUGCUCCAUCAAUGAUCUGCUUAGUAUCAUCCAGGGGGACCCUGUCGCAUUUCGCGGAAUUUCAAAUUGACAUGCAAUUAGAGGCUUUUACUUUACUUCUCUGACAAAUAGAUAAGCUACUAAAUGCAGCAAAUGCAUUCAUGUCAACUUAGUAUAUUGAGAUGGAUCUAGCUUUCCUGGAGAUUUUGAUAUUCUAUCCGAAGUUAUAUCGAUAAAAGUCGACUCUGUGACGGUUAAUUGGUCGUGAACUCGCUGUCAAAUUUUGCUCAGCCCUCAAUCUUUGAUUGUUAAGCAUUUUUUUGCUCCGCGAAAUUACUUUUUAUGUUUUGAAGUAGUCCUCUUCCAUCAAGAACAUGUUCGCGUGACACUGACGCCUUUUCUCAUUAUGAAGAAAUCGACAUGACUACUAAGUGUCUGAGAUCUCAAUUAUUCCACAAACUGGAUUUGACAGAGACUGCAAUGAAACAUGAUCUACUUUCGGUUCGCAAAAUUCUUAAAUUUAAUGAUUGAGAACUAAAGUGACCGCGAAUGAUAAAUGAUUCAACUAAGAUAUGGCAUGUCCUUACCAGUAAAUAUCUCGAAAGCAUCAGGUGCUGUUCGCAACUCCGAGGAGUAAAAGAGCUGAGAUCUUUUGUUCUCAUAAAGACUCGGGUCCACAAUUACAUUUUGAAUAUUUUGGUUCCUGUAUAAACAAUUAUGCUUUUAAUAAACAACUUGAUCAAAAUUUAAGGAACCAGUACUUACUAAUUGUUCCUUACAUUUUGUUUUCAGGAUUCAUUGCAUGUUCAAUGAAGUUCAAAUCUCGCGGCAAAGAUGAGAAUACAUGUAACAGAUCUGCACCAGAAAUACUCCAUUAGCAUUAAAAGAAGUGAGUGAUUAAGGAGCAGAGAAAAGAAGAUUCAUUUGUUUCUUUUGUCAAUUUCUUUCUAACCAUCCUGCGUUACGAGGGGAUAAUCCGAAGUACUCAAUUUGAUAAACCAAUCCCAGGCGGCGCCAAUCUUCAGCAGAACAGCAGCUGCAUGAAGCAUUGCAGAAACUGAAGACGGACCUGUUCUGUCGAUCGGAUAAGCUCUGCCCAUCACAUGAACAUUCCCGAAAGCUCGAAACACUCUUUCUGAUCUUACUAAAUACGCGAGCCUUACCCUCUCAUAGGUCGUCGAUCCUGCAUCUAGCUGCAGAAGGUACUGGUUUCUGGGAUGGUAUACUGCUUUCAGCAGCCGCAGAAUUCUCAGGUGCUCGCCUCGGGUGCCAGUAAUCCAAUAAGCGAAGAUCGGGGGAUACUCGGGUCCUGUUAAUGGAGCUCUGACGCUUUCUUCGAACUCCACUUCAGUGCUGCUGCUGCAAUUGCCCUGGUAAAGAAAUGAACCUGCGAAGGAGCUGAGCACGACCGUGCUCACCGCAAAAAGAGCAACUACAGGCCAAGGUGAGCAUCUUGAGCACAACUUAUGAUUCAUCUUCUCCUUGAAUUUUGAAUUUUAUCUCAGAAACAGAUUUGCAGAGUUACGCUGUAACAGAAGUUGCAGAAGUUGCUGAAAUGUUCUUUGUUUCUGAACAGAAACUGUUGCAGCAUCUUUGACCUGAAAAAAAAAAAUGUAAUCAAACUCUAGUUAUUAAGUACAUAAAAAAAGAAUGUGAGUCAAGAUUUAGACAGUUAGAAUCUGAAAGAUUGAUAACAUAACGUAAUCGGUGACGUGUCGACAUUAAAUUACAAAUAAAAUAAGGUAGAUUGAUCCAAUUGAAGAGAAGGGACUGCAAUACCAAGAUUUUUAUUUUGGGACAGUGAGAUAGCAAGAGAAUGGCAUAAUUAUAUAAAAAUUGAAAGGAGCUGCAAACCUUUCCCAGUCUCUAUUGUCCCAUGAGUUGCUGCUCCCACAUAAGUUUCUUUGAAGAUCUAAUUUUAGUACAGAUGGAUCUAUUGUGGCAUUUUAGCAUUUCUUUUUUCAUUAUUAUUAUUAUUAAAAUUCUGUAUAUUGGUUGGCAGGUUCACAGCAACCUGUUUCGGAAUGUCAAAGAUGCAUAGUGAGAAAAGCAGAAAAUGUUAAAGAAACAUGGGAGAGUAAGACAAAAUAUUUGCUAAUGUGUUUGUUUCAUUCACACCAUGAAUAUUAUUUUCUUAUUAAAUUAUGUCAUAUGUCAUAGGAUGCCAAAGGUAAGAAUAAUUUCAUAAAUAAUGUGUUUCUUAAGACUAAAAUACUGGUUCAUAGGGUAUAUGGUAUGUGUGAAAUGAAAUGAAAUAGUCGUUAUUUACUAAUAGUUUAAGCUGCUCAAUACGUGGAGCUGAAUUAAAUGGGAGAAACUAAACGAAGCAAAGAGCCUGACGGAACUUAAACUUAGAAUUUCUUACUUUGAUAUUAUGUUAAAGAAGAUGAAGCAACCGUUAUCCUCCAAUAACUUAAAACAACAAAAGAACAGUAUUUUUAAUAUUUAUAUUCAGUAUUAUGUUUAUGCUUCGUAAUUCUGUAACAAACAAUCUGGAUAAAGAGUGAAUCACACACCUAACCAAAUUGUCUCAACCAGAACUCAUUGAGGAGCUUCUCAACAAAGUCGUAUUCGUCCAAUACACUGUUCAGAUUCGAAUGAGAAACUUCUCGAUUGGAAUAGCUCUUUAGUACUUCAUCAGUACUGUCUCAACAAGACCUCUCGUUGAGGAGCUCCUCAAUAAAGUCUUGCUCGUCUGAUACAAUGUACAGAUUUGAAAGAAAAACUUUUAGACUAGAAUAAAUCUUUAAUACUCAUAUGCAGAACGAAUCUACAACACCACUCGCUAAACUAUGUCAAUGAAAGCUCAUUGAGAAGCUCCUCAACGAAGUCGUGCUUCUCCCAAAAUAGAUCAAAUUUUCCCAUGUAAUUGCUUUUCAAUUUGAUGGUGCAAUGUCCAUCUCCUUACUUUUGUUAUCAUUUACUAAAAAAGUAGAGACAAAAGAGAAGGUUUCCACAUAGUAAUACCUACACCAAAAGUUACACUUUUGCUUUGUUUUUUAUUAUCAAACUAAUUUGUUAGCUUCUUAUGUAAUUAUGAAGUCACCCAAUGAGGCUGUUGACAUGGAAACCACACCUACCAUACCAACCGGUAGGUUGAGGAUCACGCCAAUGUUAUGUUACCACCCAACAACAAAAACUUUCCAGAGUAAUUAUAAUUUUACAAUUUUUAUCAUCUAAACUCCAUCUUAUUUCUAUACAUUUUAUCAGAGCUUUUUUUUGCAUUGAGCCCUCUCGGGGCCGGGGGGGAUGAUUGGCCUUAUCUUCGUCGCGCAAGUGCCACGUGAGCGUGAAAUCGGUUGAACACGGUGAACCAUUCACCACGUCCAACUUAAAUUUAUACAACUUAUAGAAAUGUAUAAUACAAUAAAUACGUUGAAUCAUUCACCGUGUUCAUCUUAACCUGGGCCACCAACCAUGCUCGCGUGUUCCUCGCGUGACGCUUAUGUGGCGAGAAUAGGACCAAUUUUAUAAAUAUAAAUUUUAUAAAACUAUUUCUGAAAAAAAAAUUUAUGAGAGAGCUAAAUACAAAAAAAAAAACCAUUUUAUCAUCAUCAUUAUUAUUAUUAUUAUUACUAAAAAUUCAAAAUGAUUGGAUAAAUACAACCCCUCGUAAUUCUCAAUUUUAAAUAACUAUCACACUUUAUAUUGUUUCAAUUAAUAGCCCCAACAAAUUUUAAAUAGCUAUCAAAUUUGAAUACACAUAAAUUUUUUUUUUUUAAAGAAGAGACAUAUUUUCCAAUUAGAUACCAACAUUAGUAGAUUUGUGAAUAGUCGAACCUAUAUCUACUAUUAAUUGUCCAAAGAAUUUAGAAGCAUUGCCUUAAUGAUUUCAUAAUUCAUGGCUUUUUUUUUUGUAUCUCACUAAAUUUGUUAUUUUUGAUGUCGUUAUAAUUUGUCUUAUUUGUAGGCACACAAAUUUAAUGGCUACAAAGUUUAUUUAUUCUCUUAAUUUAAAAUUUUAAAUUAUUUGUUCUAUCAAACGUGCUACCCGUUAGAAAUAAACAAAUCAUUUUUACUUAAAAAAUUUGUUGGAAAUUAAAUUAAUGAUCAGCAACGUGACCUUCACCUAACUUCUAGAAUGGAAUCAUUUCUCAUUCAACGUGCUGAGUUGAAUGAAAAAAAAAAAAAAAAAAAAUUAAAAAAAAAAAAAAAAAAAAAUCUAUCACAAGAUCAAAACAAGGCCAUUUUGCAUAGAAAACCAACCUUUUUUUAAUUUGUAUUCGUGUUUUCCUUUUUUUUCCCCCAUUUUUACACCCUUGGGUCACUAGAUUCUUUUUUUUUUUUAAUGUAAAAAUUUCUCACAAGAGUUGCAGUAGUUUUCUGCUUCAUAAAAAAAAAUUGGAGACACUAAAAUGGGUGCUUAGUGCUUAAUUUACAUGUUUAAACAAACCAAUUAAAGCAAAUUAAUUCAAAAUAAUAACUCCAAAUAAUUCGAAACAUUUUCAUAUACAUAAUAAUCACAAUCUCAAUGUAGUUUUCUUUGUAACACACCAUCCCCUCUACUGUAGUGAUUAAAACACAUCCUUUGUUACAAUAGUAUCAAAUAUUAAUAAACAAAAAUAUGAAAAAGAAAAAAAAAGACAAAUAGGACUAUACAAUCAAAACCUCAGGACAUAAUCACCACAUAUAAUUCCACACAUUUUUAAUGCCAAGAACCAAGAACCAUAUUUGAAAAAGCUUAACCAGUGUUUUCGACAUCAACUGCUAUUGCCAUGUAUAUGUUUAUACUGGUACGACAUCGAUCGUCGAAGUGUCUUCAGAUCUCAAUAUUAUCCCUUCGAGGCUCGCGGGAAGUAUACACUCAGCCCAUUGGCACCCUGUGGAGAGAGGCUCAGGGGGAGGAACUAUCAUCAGCACAUUUUCGUUCCUUCGCACGACCCCCAUUACACUAACUGUGCUCCCUUCCUUAAUGUACCUGAAAACGAAAAUAUGUAUAUACACAUUGUAACACAGUCAAGGAGACUACCUCCUAAUUAUAAAAUGGUUGUUGACUUCUUUAAGAUGAAUUGAUUUGUUUUUUUUCCCUUCUUUUGGCUUGAAAUUGAAAAUUUUAUCAUGUAAUUGAAGUUGUCUUAGUGCUUGCCAUGUUCUCCAAGCAGAAAAGGCGACUAUGGGAGGAAAUUUAAUAAAUGCAAUUAUGGUAUAGCUUGUAUAUUCAGAUGUUAAGUGGAGAUGCUUGUAAUAUCCGAUGUUACAGCUUUCGGAAAGGUGUUGUCGAAGUAGAGCAAUGCAGAGAAGUACUAGGGUCUUUUCUCAAUAAAAUCAUCCUAUUGGCUUCCUGCUAUAGCAGAAGCUGAAACUUAAAAUCGGAACCUGCCACUGCGAAAAUCCUAAACAUUUUUGUUGCCAAAGGGCGGCUAACUGUCUGCUUCAGAGUAGAAGCAGUUCUAGAAAGUAGUCCUAAUAGGUACUGAAAACAGGAAUAUAAUUUUUACCCUUCUCUCAGGCGCAUCAAACGACCAUCACUAGAAAGAUUCCUCUCCCGCAGCCACCUCAUGAAUUCGGGAGACUUGUCUUUGUUUUCCGGGUUUAUGUCAACAACGAUAGAUUCAUCGACAUAGGGAGUGACUUUAGCCCCACAACCUGUUUUUACCAAAGCUCGUAAGCCAGAUUGGAAGUCGGAGAUGUAAAAGUCAACCACAUGUCUCUGCCAAAGUUCAAGAUAAACAUAAAAGAGUUACGACCACAAACAAGAAUAUAAUGGCAAAUAAAGGGAAAAUUGCACCAAUAUUUUAGCAUAAUUUUCAUUGGACCCCAACUUUUUUUUUUGUUUUUAAUUGUUACAAUUGUUAGAGAGUUCCGACCUAACCCAACCCCCAUCCGUUCAGUUCCUCCAGCAAAUUGGAUAGAAAUAUUUACAUAAACAUCAUAUAAUAUCGCACAAGUGUCUUUUGGACUUCUCAUAGGGUGAUUAUGUGCUCAUCUCCGUCCAAUUUAGUCCAGGAAUUAAUGAAAAAAGGUAUGAUAACAAUUUUUUCUGCUGGGAACCAGCGGAAACCUCCCAACAACAUUAUAACUCCAUGGUGCAUUUUAUCCUUGAAUAAAUGUAAUGUAGCAUUCGAGCAAACAAUAACAUGAAGGAACUGAUACAAUGAUAACAGAAAUUUAAUUAAAUUUGUGAUUUCUUCAGUCUUGAAUAAAAUGUUACGAGUUUUCUUUUUCUUUUUUUUUUGUUCAAUAAACUAAGGAAAUAAGACAAUAUUUACCUCCAUGGCUCUUAGCCCCCAUGUAAACCGGCUAUGCUUGGGAUUUGAAGGCUUUGAUUUCCAACCCCUGUAUUCAUAUAAGCUUGUAGAAGUAUAAACACAUCUCGGAACCCUUUGAUACGAGGACUCGAGGGGGAAAUUUCCACAUGUAACAACCUGUGAGAAGCUUAACUAUGUCAGCAGUCAGCACCUGCCAACUUGACAGUGGCACCUAAUAUCAUAGGUCAGAAAAAAUCUAGUAAAUAUAGUUCCAAAACCUAAAAGAAAAAGGAAACCGUCAUCCAUAGACUUUCGAUGUAAAAAUAGCAUUUCUAACCCUGUUUCAAGUGAAUUUAAAUGAGAAAGUCAUCCAAAUGAAAAUGGCCAGGCAUCAAGCAACAAAGCAGCAACAAUUCCAAAUGAAAAACUUACCCCGGAAACCUUUACAUACUGCCCGUCUUUUGCAGUUCGAAGCUCAGCAUCAGGGUAGCGAUUAAUAAACCUGAUUGGUGCUUUCCUUCCAGAGCAACUAUUCCAAAUGAAAAGUGCAGAAACUGCCCCAAAUAAGACCACAACAAGAAUAAGAAGAAGCGCAUUGUGAACCGCACCAAGAAUGAACCCUCCGGCAAUGAGCCCCAUCACAAACAGUAGAAUCACCGACCACAGUAUCGGCUUAGGAAAGCUCCUUUUGAAGGAAUAAGUAUCAUCCUGAAUGAGUUUGGUAACGGCCUGGUUAUGCGCCAAAGUGGUAGAAUGGAGCUUCACUGAAUUAGUCGAGUCUAGUGAGCCGGAUACUUUUCGUGGGGCUCCGGAUGAAUUGAGCGAGCCGGAUAAAAUCGGACCGGACGUAAUAAGCCCUGUUGUAGGGAGCACAGGAGGGGCUGCGGCGGAUUGAGGGCCUGACGACCUUUUACUCGAAUCGCCAUGUUUGUUUAAUGGCCCAGAAUUGGUUUUCUGUUUGGAAAGAGAACCAGAAUUGGAAUUAGCAGCGCCGAAUGAUGCAGUUCUUGAAGGAGCACUGCCAAGAGGGCCAGAUUUUCUUGAUUUCUCCGCAUGAAGGUCGAACAUUUUUCCGAGUUCCCCGGAUCUCUUAAUAUCUCCGCCGGUGUACGGCAUGGCUGCUGAGCUCAUUGUCGGAGGCUUCUCCUUGGGCGUCUCGGAGCGGCCCGAGACAUACAGCCCAUUGCUGAGCUGAUGGGACGGGAACCUCGAUCCCAUCGAGCUUGGCUGAUUUGAUCGAAAAGAAAAUGCCGACUGUAAUCAACAGCCUGUUAGGGUUCACCUCUGAUAUCGAAAAGGAUCAUCUUGUGAAUACAGCUCAACUAAACAAUUUUCAGGUCAACUCUUUACGAAAAAAGGAAAAAGAAAAAAUGAAUGUUGAUAUAAAAGCCGAAUAGAUAAUUUGAUCCUUAUGAACAUAUAGAAAUCAGACAAUGCGGAAAGGAGAAAAACUACAUAGACAUACAUAUUCAAACACGGCGAAAACCUUAACUCUAAAAAGAUGACAUAUUUCCCCAGAUUAAAACACGGCGAAAACCUUAAAUAGAAUUUUUAGUUUCGAGGGAGCCUUAGCUGAAAUCAGCAAUUCUCGAACGAAGCACUAGUAUUUAAUUCGGCAAUUGACAAAUUUCCAGGUUAAAAAAAAAAACUUAAACUCUAAAAAGAUGGCAUGGUUUGAAAUCAGUAAUUAUAAAAGUUAGAAAACCUCAGCACAACAGAUCUGACCAAGUUUAUUCGACUUUAGCCGAAAUGCUGUGCAAUUUCUGAGAGCAUGACCUCAACAAUUCUCAAAUUACGGUUCGCGAAACUUCAUCGUAUCGGGAAUUGAAUGACGAACAGGACCUAAAAACAUACAAAUUAAUUGUUAAGGAAAGAUCUUUCUACUACUAACCAAAAUUAGUUCUAAAAUCUACAAUCUCAAACAAGCAACUCCUCCAUCUCCAACACAGCCCAAAAUCUACUCAAAUGUGCAAACGCAUUGUGCCUAAUGUUCUCCACUCCUAGAGCUCCAAAAAACAAAAACCCAAAUCCCAUUUGAGAAAUUGAACCAAACCCACAUUUCCAUUUCUCCAAUUAAACGAAUCCCAAACGACCCAAUUGCCCCCCCCCCCCGCAAAAAAACUCCCCAAAAAGGAGAAAUUAGUGCUUCAUAUUCCUGUUUAGAUCUAAAAAACUGCAAUUGGAGACAAACCCAUAUCCUCAUUACCAUCAAAAAAGAGAACAAUGCAUAGAUCAGAAAACCAACAACUCCAGAUCCCAAAAAAACUUAGAAAAAAAGUACAUAAACAAGGGACAAGCUCAUGUAACAAAGAGAAUGAGGGAGAAAGAGAGAUCUUUCUCUCUCUUCAUACCUUUGGAGCCAGGGAAAAUGAGCUUCAGCUAGAGAGAGAGAGAGAGAGAGAGAGAGAGAUUUGGUUUUUUUUCACUGUACUUUAUGGUGUGUGCUUUGUCUCCUAUAAAAAUUAAAAAGUGAACACUGAGUGGGGAAAGGAAGGAAAAAUGUCUGGUUAGUCCCUGAACUAUCCUCCUAUUGGAACUUGUCUUUGUACCAUUUUUUUUUUUUUUUCACAUUUUUAGGACUUGUUUGUUUGGGUGAAAGUGUUUAGAUGAAAGUGGAGAGUGGUGAAGUUUUUUUCAGCCGUAAUUGAUUACUUUCGUUAUUUAUUUCUUCGUAACAGAGAUAUGGUCUAAACUUGAGUUAUCUGAAACAGCGUAAUUGAUUUUGGUCCGAAGUAAAGAACGGUAAAAAAAUAAUAAUAAUAAAAUAAUAUAAUAAGUAAUGCUAAUUAUAUUUAAAUAUAUUUAAUUAUGGCACUAAUUAUUCUUUUAUUUAGUUUGUAUAUUUAAAAUAUAAUAAAAUUUGAUUAGUUAAGUUUUAUUAUUUUCGUCAUUUAGUUUGUACACGUAAGAUAGGAUGAAAAUUGAUUAAUUAAGUAUUUAUAUAUUUUUUUACUUUAUAAUUGUAUUGUUGUAUUAUUAUAAUUUAUGUAUAAAAAAAUAAUUUUGUUGGUUUAGAUUAAAUUUUUAAUUAUAUAGGAAUAUAAUUAUAUUAUUUUUAUUUAUUAAGUUAUUUAUUAUUUAUACACAAAUUAUAGUUUUAUAUUAUUCGAAUUCCUGCUCCCACACCAGAAUUCUGAAGAAAUUUACUUCCAUAGCUGUUAUAAACAAACAAUAUAAAGAAUAAUAAUUUUACGAAUUAUAUUUAAUUUAAAGUUACUUGCAACCACAAAAUUCUAGUUUUCGUGAACAAACAUAUAACAAAAGUCUAUUUCCAAUCCCGAAGUUACAUAUCUUUUUUUUAUAAAUAACUGAAGUACUAUUAUAUUAAUAAAUGAUUCAACUUGUUUGAAAUUCAAAUCAAUUAUAUCCCUUUUUUUUUUAACAGUAAUAAAUUAAGAUUUUAUAUAUAUAUAUAUAUAUAAAUUUUGAAUACAUGCCAAACUACAUGGGACAUAGUAACAGGAACCAACCAAAUAUAUUAUCAAAAUAAUAAUAAUAAUAAUAAAAAAAAAGGGAAGAGACUAAAGGUGAAGCAACCACCUUUCAACUCCCUCUCUCUCUGACGUAUUAUUAAUAAUUUUUUUACCAAAAUGACCAAAAUCCGCUUACGAGAAUACCCUGACCUAGAAGAAUUAUUUAUAUCUAGAAUUUUCAUCAUAAGGACAUAACUGCUCUAAUUUAUAAGUGCUUUUGCGGAUACUGGUGAGAUAAAAUAUAAUAAAAUUGAGGAUUUUUCUUUAUAUGAAAAGUACGAACAUUUUUCGACAGAUCGUAAGAUAUUUGAUGUUCAAGGGUUACAUAAUUGAAAUAAAAAAGCACAUAAACCGAGUCGCAGAAGUAGGAUUACAUAGGGAAGCAAUGUUAGAACUCUCCAUUUACACUAGUGCCAUCACUGUUUAGAGCCAGUGUGCUUUUAGCUUCAGUUGUUAUAAGAUUUAUCUUCUAUUAAGAACUGUAGCAAAAAGAUUUUCAUCUUAAAUGAAAGAAAGAAGCAGAUUGAUAAAUUACAGUAACAUUUUGUUUGUUUGCUGCAAGAAUUUCUGAUUGUCCCAGUAAGAAAAAUGAACAAAGAAUCUGCAUCAGAUUGCUCUUUUUCUGCAGAAAUGAACAGCAGGAUUAUCUAUCAGGGACUUCAAUUGGACUAGUUUCAGUUCAGUCCAGUUUCAAUUCAAAUAGGGCAUGGUACAUAUAAGUAUAUAUAUACUUAAGAACUGUGAGUUUGGCUACAUCAAUCCAACUCUUAUUUGAUUACUGUCGCGCGUAGGACUAAACCGAACAGCGGUUUCAAAUCAAUAAGAAAUAGCAAAAAUUGAUUAUGAAAAGAAAAAGAAAAAGCAGGUUAAUAGAAAGACUUCAUGAGGAAAUUACUGAGAAGUCUUGGUCUGAACUAAGCUAGACUCGACCGAAACGCGUAUUAAACUGAAUGUGAUGCUUCUUCUGUAUGAAAUGAAUCUUCUCUUGUGAAACAGAUUCAUCAUUGACAUGAAAUUCUCACAACUUUAAUUAACCUCAACUACAUUUCGCAGCUCGACUGUAUCUUAUCUGCGCGAACUCCGCUGCUAAUUUUCUUUAACCUUCUUUGAUUAUUUCGUUUCAGCAAUCUUUCCUUCUAAUGCAUGGUGGUCGAAUUUUUCCUUAUCAUCUGAAAUCAAAUCAUUCUUGGUUCUCUUUAGUUCUUUACUCAUCACUGUUCUCACAUCAGCAUAAAUUAGAUCUACAAAUUUAGAUCAACUACUAUUAAGUUUCAUCCUUGAUAGGUGGUUAGUUAACAUUGGAAAUAAAUUGCCCCUGACAUUUAACUCUUAACUUGGUACCAUUUGCUGUUUUGAUGUUCUCUAAACAUCAAAUUUGCUCUCAAUUUGAACUUUCAUGGGAUUUAUUUGUGAGAACUCUAUAAAACGGCACAUACGAAACUUGGCCUACAUAUGCUGUUUGAAAUUGUUUAUCUGGAAGUAGAUAGGAUUUCUCUUAAACACAUCAAAUUGGCCUCCCAUCUCACUACCAAAUCAAAUUUAAUUCAAUGCCAAUUUAUUUUUAAUAUAAGUUAUAAGUAAAAUGAAUUAUUUGGACUUAAAAGUCAAUUAAAUUCUAUUGAGAGCCUGUUUAGCCCGACUAUGCUUUUUCCGUUAAUUUCCGGUUAAAUAAACACCACUCAGAAAAACGGAAGUAACUUUUGUCACAAACAUCUUUCGGACUACUUCGUGCCGCAAUAUAACCAGAAGUUUCAAAUCAGAAUUUUCUCGACUUUUUACAAACCAAAUUUCUAGUUUCUAAAAUUUCUAUUUUUUUGUCCGAAUUCAAAAGUGUGGUAAAAACGAGACCAAACAAUCAAUGAAAGUAUAAAAUAGCUAGAGUUAAAAAAAAAAAAAGAAAAAAAGAUCCCAAUCUAAUCUAAGGGCUACAAGAGAGAGGAAGAGUACAAAGAAUUCAAAAAGGUCUCCUUUUUUUUUUCCACAGACUUAUAAAUCCCUAACUAUUGAAGGGUCGAAUUCAACAAGAGAUUUGGAUGGUUUCCAAAUAAAGCUUUUAGGGUUCCUCCAAAGAGAGCAGGGGAUCCUCCAAAUAGCAAUUGGGUAAACCCAAAAACGCUUAAUUUCUAUUAAGAAACCCUUAGAUUCUUCACAGGUUUUCUCAUACAGAUCUGUGUGUCGUGUUUUAUAUUGAUUGUGUUGUUAUUGUUGCAAUUUAAUUUUUUUUUUUUAGUUAUUUUAAUGCAAUUUUCAUGAUCUGCUGGUCCUUCUUCUGUUCUUGUGAUUCAUUUUGUUAUGCACCCAUCUAUGUUGGAUUCUAGGGAAUUAGGGUUCUGUGAAGGAGAGCAAUUUACAUUAGGGCUUGUAGUAACUCCCAAGAAUUGCUUGCCGAUUGGGAAUGUGGAAAAGGGAAUCAUAGAGUUGAUUGAAGAACAACAUUUUGUUAUGCCUUGUUAGAGAUAUCUGUUUACUGAGAAAUUGAAAGUAGUUUGAGAGGAGGAAGUGGGGAAUUGGGGUUGAUAAUUUGUGUUUUAAGAUCUUUAUUGAUGUUAGGAAUCAUACAUCAUUGAUGGGUAGGAAUAGGAUUGAUUCCAGGUAGGACGUUCGGUUCUCACGAAAAAGUUCUGAAAAAGGAUUUUCCAUCCGUUUGGUUUCCCAAAAACAUACUUUUUCCUAAAAAAUUUAUCUCCAGAUUCCAUGGAAAAGUCUUCUUUUCAUUUCCAGAUUUUUAAUCCUGUAAACAAAAUCUAUGGAAAGGGUGUUUUCCAUGAAAAACUCGUUUCCUCGAAAUUCGAAAACAGUUUAUGAUUUUCUGAGGAACCAAACACCCCUUUAUUAAUUUUUCUUGAGAAAAGAAUGAAGAAGAAUUGUGGACACAUCAAUUCCCUGGAAGAAUGAGGAAGAGAUUCUCUAGCAGGGGAGAAAAUUGUGACGAAGAAUUGUUGACACUUGUUUCGCUAUUACUAGUUUUGUAAGAUUUUGGUUCAGUUUGGGAUUGUUUUGCUUGCUUCAGUGAUCCUUGUUUUCUUUCUCACUACAUUCCAGGAAAUUAUUCUAGGAAGUACAGUAAGUUGCUUAUAGAGAUGGUGUUAUCUGCAUUUGUAAAUCUUGCAAUGGAAAGCCACUAGAAAUAAGCUUACAAUUUGGCUGGUCACUUAUGAUAAAGUUAAUUGAGAUAUGUGAUGAAUGCAAUUGGAACUAUCUCUGGAUGAGAAAUGCAAACCUUUAGAUGACAAUAGCAUUUCAUUCACUGGCUCAUUUGAUUUAUUGACUAUGAACGAAACAGCAAAGAAUGUCGCCUUCGUAUACAAAAGGAGGAGAGUUACUGAAUGCAGUCAGAAUGACUGCAGGAAAACUGUUUUAUCCCCGGAUGAGGCGUGCAAAUCGUUAGACAUGAAUAGGGUUUCGUUCACAAGCUCGUUUGAUUUAUCGACUAUGAAAAGAACGUCAAAGAAUGUUGGCUUCGUAUACAAAAGGCGGAAACGUAAUGAAUGCAAUUGGAGUGACUGCGGGAAAACUAUUUUUUCGACUAUGACGGAAACAGCAAAGAAUGUUGGCUUUGUAUACAAAAGGCGGAAAUGUAAUGAAUGGAAUAGGAAUGACUGCAGGAAAGCUAGUUUAUCUCUGGAUGAGUCAUGCAAAUCUUUAGAUAAUGUUGGGGUUUCAUUCACAAGCUCAUUUAAUUUACCAAGAAUAAAAAGAACAGCAAAAAAUGUUGGCUUCGUAUACGAGAAGCAGAAAUCGGAUAGGAAAUCGGUUACGUACCUUUCACGAAAUGCAACAGAAAGUUUGAAGCAAAGUGCAAAAUGCAAUAGUGAAUAUUAUAAGGAUGGAAAAACUAUUUUAUCUGAGUGUGAGGACGCAUGCGAAACUUUAACAAAUGUUGGAGUUUCGUUCUCAAAUUCCUCUGAUUUAUCGGCUACAAAAAGCAUGUUCCCAGUCUCUUCACCAAAGAUGUUUAAAUUGGUGUUUAAGAGGACGAAGUUUGAUAGAAACUCUCUUGCAUUCAUUUCAGAAAAUACAACAUACAGAAUUGCUUGUCCAUGUUCCAGCGCAAGUUCUGACGAACAAUCAGUUAUAUUGCCCAUAAAAACAUCUAAUUGUGAUCUUCGUAAACCUGCAUUAAACUCAAUUAUAGAUGAUAGAUGUUCUUCGUCAGUCUCUUGUGUGCCAUCUUUAAUGAAGAAAGAAGAAAAGGGCCGUGAGCACUGUUCUUCUAAGGAUGCUGAUGUGGUAGAACAGUUAAACAAAGUUGCUUCAGUAAAGGAGCUCUGCAUCUCUGUGCUGAAAAGCGAUGGACUCCUUGGAGAUGCGGGGACUAGUAAUGAAGAUGAUCCUAUUGCGGUCCCUUGUGAUCGAGAUGCUAACUGUUCUGAAACAUGCAAAAUUUGUGGGCUUCUGGGAAAUCUAUUGGAGAUGUUAAUUUGUGACAUUUGUGAAGAAGCAUUUCAUCUGCCUUGUUGCAAACCAAAGAUAAAGAAAAUACCGGUCGAUGAGUGGUACUGUCAGACUUGCUUCAGAACAAAACGCAAGUCCUUAUCUGCAGAAUACUCGAGGAACAAAAGUGAACCAUCCAAGAAGAGUAAGAGUCGGUCACCUCGUCUGCGUCAGGAUUGGAUAACUUUGAUGUUGAAAGACACCCAACCAUAUACAACAGGGGUUCCAAUUGGUGAAGAUUUCCAAGCAGACAUUCCGGACUGGUCUGGUCCAAUGUCAGAGUAUGCUCUCUUUACUCCUAUAUGUUCUUGCAAUUCAUUUUAUCUUUGACUGGAAGAUUUUCUCUUUUCUUCCCCCUUUUUUGGAUUAAAUUAGGAAUUGGACAAAGCCUUUUGUGAUCAGGAGCAACAAGCUUUGUUUUCAAAAAAAUAUGUUUGGUAAUUUACGUGGAAAUAAGACACAUAAUUCUUCUUUUCUGACAAAAUUUGUUUUGCAGUGGUCUCCUGUAAAUAUUCAAUAUCAUGAAUAAAAAGCAGAUUUUUGUUAUUUGUUCCUUAAUAUCAUCUCUAUUAUCAUUAUUUCUGCAGCAGCGCCAGUUAUUACGAUUGAACUUCUCAGAUGGAUCCUGCUGAAUUUCAUAAUCUGGAUGUAAGAUUCAUAUCUCUAUUUUUCACCAUUUUUGCAAUUUUUGUGCUGCACAUCGAAUUUUCAUUACUUUAUUAGAAUUAUGGAACCUAGUUGAAAUACUCGAUGCGAUUUUUCAUUGAUAUAGCAUGCAAUGUAUCUUCCAUGUCAAAAUUUUCUUCUGACUCUCUCAUUCUAUAAUAAUGCACUUCCAUAAUACCGCUUUUGUCGUUGAACGGGAAUGUAAAUGAAUUUGCUAAUGCACUCAAUCUACCCCGCUUAGUGUCUCUUAUCUAAACAGAUUACGGUGCUCUUAUCUUAUCUUUACAUUAUUAAUGAUCUUCAUAAUCUUAUUACUGGCACAAGACUUUGUUAUCUAGUACAUAUUCAUAUUUACAUAUGUCGGUAUUAUAUUUCUGCAGCAUAAUUUUGAUUAAUUUCUAUAUGCUUUCCAUUCUUAAUGACCACUUAAUCCAUACAUACAGGUGAAGAAAGGCCAUUUUGAUCCUGAAUGAAGUUGUAGCUGUAUAAUAUGAAAGGGGCCUGAUAACAAAUAUACAUACAUUUCUCUGUAGUUUAGUAUGCAAGGGUUUUUGGCAUUCGAAUUCGUAGAUUUUGUGUAAUAUGAGGUUUGCUGAUACCAAAUUCAUUCUGGAUUAGGCAGAGAGCUGUAUCAUCUAUAUAUAAUUGAUCGUGUUCGAUUCGCUGCCAACGACGGCAUUUCAAGGCCAAUUUUGUUGUGUAGCUCUAUUUAGGGGUAAAAAAAGAAGAAAUGUUUCAAUCGAGUUCAUCAAUAGUAAUUCUGAUUCAGAUUAACUUCCCAUAUGUUUUCGCGGUGCCAGAUUUGGAAUUGUAUUAUCCCUUUUGUAUUCCAGUUGGGUCUGGUGGUAAUGGUUUGUUGAUUUCUUACCCUUCACAGCAUUCGGCGUGCAGCUUCUUCGAAGAUUGGUACAUGUGAUUGAUCAAAAAGAGUAGAACAAGCACAUUCCCUCCUUUCUUUGUGGUUUUUCGCAUCAAAUAGGGGUGCUUCUUCAAGUUUGUAUGGACAAUCACAUUUCCUCGAGUAGCUAACCUCCAUAAUUAUUGAUAAGUUGGACAAAAUAUAGUUCCAACUUACUGAGGCCUAAUUCAGUCAGAAAUGCUUAGUUUUCCGAAUUCCGCUCAGCAGUGAUUUGUAAGGCUUAGUUGAUCCAAAAUCAUUUUCAGGAGAAUAUAAGCAUCGUAUAUUGAAUCAGUUUGAGGCUCAAAUACUCACUCAAUUUAAGCUUAUUUUAAGCAAGAAUACAUAAAUGAUCACUGCCAAUAAAAGAAUAUUGUAAAUCGGACUUACAAAUGUAAUCAAUCAAUUUAGAAACUAGAGCAAAGUGUGCUCACAAUACCUGAAAGUAUUUUCCAUACAAUUUGUUCAAACACAAAAUGUCGCACUUAAGGCAAUGUAGUUAUUCACGACAACAAAACAUCGUCAAGAUGGAAAACCCAGAAACAAGAGACUAAACGUUUAUUCCAACCUUCCAUGCAAACAAGGCAAUGGAAGAACAUUGGUGUAGGUAAAAUAUCUGCCGAAGAAAUGAGAUGCAAGCUUUCAUCACAACCAACCCAGAAAAUGAUCUUCGGUCCUGCAGAAAGGCAAUACAUAUCAAUUAAAAUCAUGCUAAAAUUUCAUUAUUAUAGUACAAACGCUCACCAUUUUAUCGACUCUUUUGUAAUCAUCUUUCAUUAAGAAUCACUUCAACGUUUUCCAUCUGUCUUAACGAAUGGAAAGAACGAAUUGUCCUCGAAGAAGUUCAGAAGCCCAGAGAGACUUAACUUGACAAAACAGAAUCCAUAAAUAAGACUGGCUAAGAUUAACUGCUUUAAGAAAAGAGCAGGAUAACACUGUCAAACAUAUCACAUGGAAGGGGAAAAAAAAACACCGCAAGGGCAAGAGAAUUUAGAUGAAAAACGUGAUGCAUCAUUGUAUGAAUUUGAAUUACACUCGAUUAGAGUGCUGCCACCAUCAUAUAUUUUAAGUGAAUUUCGUAGUAGACACACCUCAAGAAAACAUACUAUAUAUCUCCCCUCAAUUAGUGGAUUAAAGCAAACUUCUAUCACCGGAUGCAAGAUAAUUUGGUCCAGCAAUAUUUGAGAGCAUGCCACACGCAAACUUUUCUCUGAGCCCUAUUUCUCACCAUGGAACCCCUCCACCCUAACCACCUCUAGUAUGCACCGGUUUAAUUAUCUAUGCCUCCAAUCUACUGUGCUUGCCCAAAACUACACUACCCUGAUCAUUUGAAGAGCUAUCAUCACUUCAUUCAUGCCUGUUUAUUUGUUCAAUCAACAAGUAACAUCGAGUUCAACAAGUAACAUCGAGUUAAAGACAAUGUGGCAUAAAAAGGUGAUAUAAAGGCAUUGUCCUCUAAGCACAUCAAGCAGCCAGCAAUUAAAUUGAUACUAGAGAGAAAGCAAAUUUCUUUAUCGACCAAAAGCCUCUGAUCAGACACAUGUCAACAGAUGAAGAAAGAAACAAUCCUAGAUUCCUACUCCUGCACAAGAUGAAUCCAACACCACAAUGUCAUCAAUGAAUGAUAGUAGUUGGUAUAACUAUUCAGAUAUGGUUCAUCUGUUUCGCCAACAAUUAACAGCCGAAAAUUCAAUUUCUGCAUUGACAUAAGCUCCCUGAUUCAAAUACAAGUUGCCAAAAAAAAAAAGCGCUAAACCACCCUGCAUUCCAAUCCCUAUUCAAGGCGGAUCAACACCAGAAGAAACCAUAUUAGUGUUUAAAUCUGGUGGAUCUACCAUCUAUAAAUAGAUAAAAACUCU